rnacentral:rRNA from 1 species
ACGGGGGCCCGCACAAGCGGUGGAGCAUGUGGUUUAAUUCGAUGCAACGCGAAGAACCUUACCUGGUCUUGACAUCCACAGAAGUUUCCAGAGAUGGAUUGGUGCCUUCGGGAACUGUGAGACAGGUGCUGCAUGGCUGUCGUCAGCUCGUGUUGUGAAAUGUUGGGUUAAGUCCCGCAACGAGCGCAACCCUUAUCCUUUGUUGCCAGCGAUUAGGUCGGGAACUCAAAGGAGACUGCCAGUGAUAAACUGGAGGAAGGUGGGGAUGACGUCAAGUCAUCAUGGCCCUUACGACCAGGGCUACACACGUGCUACAAUGGCGCAUACAAAGAGAAGCGACCUCGCGAGAGCAAGCGGACCUCAUAAAGUGCGUCGUAGUCCGGAUUGGAGUCUGCAACUCGACUCCAUGAAGUCGGAAUCGCUAGUAAUCGUGGAUCAGAAUGCCACGGUGAAUACGUUCCCGGGCCUUGUACACACCGCCCGUCACACCAUGGGAGUGGGUUGCAAAAGAAGUAGGUAGCUUAACCUUCGGGAGGGCGCUUACCACUUUCGAUG